UACAGAGGGCGCGAGCGUUGUCCGGAAUCAUUGGGCGUAAAGCGCGCGUAGGCGGCCCGGUAAGUCCGCUGUGAAAGUCCAGGGCUCAACCCUGGAAGCCGGUGGAUACUGCCGGGCUAGAGUCCGGAAGAGGCGAGUGGAAUUCCUGGUGUAGCGGUGGAAUGCGCAGAUAUCAGGAGGAACACCGAUGGCGAAGGCAGCUCGCUGGGACGGUACUGACGCUGAGGCGCGAAAGCGUGGGAGCGAACAGG
rnacentral:rRNA from 1 species